GAUGAACGCUAGCUACAGGCUUAACACAUGCAAGUCGAGGGGAAACGAUAGAGAAAGCUUGCUUUUUCAGGCGUCGACCGGCGCACGGGUGAGUAACGCGUAUCCAACCUGCCCACCACUUGGGGAUAACCUUGACGAAAGUAAGACUAAUACCCAAAUGACGUCUCUAGAAGACAUCUGAAAGAGAUUAAAGAUUUAUCGGUGAUGGAUGGGGAUGCGUCUGAUUAGCUUGUUGGCGGGGUAACGGCCCACCAAGGCGACGAUCAGUAGGGGGUUCUGAGAGGAAGGUCCCCCACAUUGGAACUGAGACACGGUCCAAAACUCCUACGGGAGGCAGCAGUGAGGAAUAUUGGUCAAUGGACGAGAGUCUGAACCAGCCAAGUAGCGUGCAGGAAGACGGCCCUAUGGGUUGUAAACUGCUUUUAUAAAGGAAUAAAGUCGGGUAUGGAUACCCGUUUGCAUGUACUUUAUGAAUAAGGAUCGGCUAACUCCGUG
rnacentral:rRNA from 1 species